CGCCUGUUUAUCAAAAACAUCUUUUCUUGUUAGUUUUUGAAGUAUGGCCUGCCCGCUGACUUUAGUGUUGAAGGGCCGCGGUAUUUUGACCGUGCAAAGGUAGCAUAGUCAUUAGUUCUUUAAUUGUGAUCUGGUAUGAAUGGCUUGACGAGGCAUGGGCUGUCUUAANUUUGAAUUGUUUAUUGAAUUUGGUCUUUGAGUUAAAAUUCUUAGAUGUUUUUAUGGGACGAGAAGACCCUAUAGAGUUUGACAUUUAUUAUGGUCUCUUUCCUGUUUGUGAGGGUUCACUGGGCCGUUUAAUAUGUUUUGUUGGGGUGAUGGGAGGGAUAUAAUUUAACCCCUCCUUUGUGUUGUUAUAUUUAUUUAUAUUUGUUUGAUCCAUUUAUUUUGAUUGUAAGAUUAAAUUACCUUAGGGAUAACAGCGUAA
rnacentral:rRNA from 1 species